GUUAAACAUAAAGAGCGUAGGGUGGAUGCCUAGGCACUGACAGCCGAAGAAAGACGUGACAAGCUGCGAAAAGCUGCGGGGAGAAGCACAUAUUCAGUGAUCCGCAGAUGUCUGAAUGGGGAAACCCACUUGGAUAAACUCCAAGUAUCUGUACGCCAAUACAUAACGUACAGAGGGGAACCCGGUGAACUGAAACAUCUAAGUAGCCGGAGGAAAAGAAAACAACAGUGAUUGCGAAAGUAGCGGCGAGCGAAAUCGUAAGAGCCCAAACCGUGGUGCGUGCACUGCGGGGUAGAGGACUGCAACACGAGUAAGAUAUAUUACCUGAACCGUUUUGGAAAAGCGGGCCAAAGAGCGUGAGAGCCGUGUAAGGGAAAAUGUAUUGAAUCCAGCAGUAUCCGGAGUACCACGAGACACGAGAAACCUUGUGGGAAGCAGGGGGGACCACCCCCCAAGGCUAAAUACUAGUCAGUGACCGAUAGCGUAUAGUACUGUGAAGGAAAGGUGAAAAGAACCCCGGGAGGGGAGUGAAAAAGAACCUGAAACCCUAUGUUUACAAACUGUGGAACACCGAAAGGUGAACCGCGUACUUUUUGUAGAACGGUCCGGCGAGUUACAUGUACAGGCGAGGUUAAGUAUUAAAGAUACGGAGCCGAAGGGAAACCAAGUCUUAAUAGGGCGAUAUUAGUCAGUAUGUGUAGACCCGAAACCGGGUGAUCUAUCCAUGUCCAGGUUGAAGUUCGCGUAAAAGUGAAUGGAGGACCGAACGCACAUCCGUUGAAAAGGGUGGCGAUGAGGUGUGGAUAGGGGAGAAAUUCCAAUCGAACCCGGAGAUAGCUGGUUCUCCUCGAAAUAGUUUUAGGACUAGCCUCGUUAUUAGUCUACCGGAGGUAGAGCACUGAAUUUUUGCGGGGGCGUCAAAGCCUACCAAGAGAUAUCAAACUCCGAAUGCCGGCUAGAUGAUUGACGGGAGUCAGACUACACGAGAUAAGUUGGGUAGUCAAAAGGGAAAGAGCCCAGACCUACGGCUAAGGUCCCAAAGUGUGUGUUAAGUGGAAAAGGAUGUGGGAUUUCGAAGACAGCUAGGAUGUUGGCUUAGAAGCAGCCAUACAUUAAAAGAGUGCGUAACAGCUCACUAGUCGAGAGGUCCUGCGCCGAAAAUGUCCGGGGCUAAACACAACACCGAAGCCUGGGAAUGUAGAAAUACAUUGGUAGAGGAGCAUUCUUAGAGGCGUAGAAGCCAUACCGGAAGGAAUGGUGGAGUAAUAAGAAGAGAGAAUGCCGGAAUGAGUAGCGAGAAAGAGGUGAGAAUCCUCUUGGCCGAAUAUCUAAGGUUUCCUGAGUAAAGCUGAUCUACUCAGGGUAAGUCGGGGCCUAAGGCAAGGUCGAAAGACGUAGUCGAUGGAUAACAGGUACAGAUUCCUGUACUACAUAUAAUCAGAACUGUGGGGACACGGAGACUAAAACCGAACCCGGGAGGACAAAAACCGGGGCAAGCGAAGUACCUGUAUGGGAGGAAAAACCACCAUACAAGGGGAAAACGUGAUGCGUACCGAAAAUUAGUAGGGAAGUCGGUUAGGGAGCCGUCAAGAAAAGCCGCUAUUGUGUUAUAUGUACCCGUACCGCAAACCGACACAGGUAGAUGAGGAGAGAAUCCUAAGGCCGGCGGGAGAAGCAUUGUUAAGGAACUCGGCAAAAUGACCCCGUAACUUCGGGAGAAGGGGUGCCACUUUAGUAGAGUGGUCGCAGAAAAAAGGCUCAAGCAACUGUUUAGCAAAAACACAGGUCUAUGCGAAACCGCAAGGUGAAGUAUAUGGGCUGACGCCUGCCCGGUGCCGGAAGGUUAAGAGGAGAAGUCAGGAAACGAAGCUUUGAAUUGAAGCCCCGGUAAACGGCGGCCGUAACUAUAACGGUCCUAAGGUAGCGAAAUUCCUUGUCGGGU
rnacentral:rRNA from 1 species